GGCGCGUCUUACACAUGCAAGUCGAGCGGUAAGGCCCCUUCGGGGGUACACGAGCGGCGAACGGGUGAGUAACACGUGAGCAACCUACCCUCAACUUCGGGAUAAGCCUCGGAAACGGGGUCUAAUACCGGAUAUCAUCUCGCGCUUCAUGGUGUGGGGUUGAAAGUUCUGGCGGUUGGGGAUGGGCUCGCGGCCUAUCAGCUUGUUGGUGGGGUAAUGGCCUACCAAGGCGUCGACGGGUAGCCGGCCUGAGAGGGCGACCGGCCACACUGGGACUGAGACACGGCCCAGACUCCUACGGGAGGCAGCAGUGGGGAAUAUUGCGCAAUGGACGGAAGUCUGACGCAGCAACGCCGCGUGAGGGAUGACGGCCUUCGGGUUGUAAACCUCUUUCAGCAGGGACGAAGCGAGAGUGACGGUACCUGCAGAAGAAGGACCGGCCAACUACGUGCCAGCAGCCGCGGUAAUACGUAGGGUCCGAGCGUUGUCCGGAAUUAUUG
rnacentral:rRNA from 1 species